GAACGCUGGCGGCGUGCUUAACACAUGCAAGUCGCGCGUGAAAGGACUUCGGUCCGAGUAAAGCGGCGCACGGGUGAGUAACGCGUGGAUGAUCUACCCAUGAGUUGGGAAUAACGGCUGGAAACGGUCGCUAAUACCGAAUACGCUCCGAUUUCAACUUCGGGGGAAAGGUGGCCUCUGCUUGCAAGCUACUGCUCAUGGAUGAGUCCGCGUCCCAUUAGCUAGUUGGUGGGGUAACGGCCCACCAAGGCGACGAUGGGUAGCCGGUCUGAGAGGAUGACCGGCCACACUGGGACUGGAACACGGCCCAGACUCCUACGGGAGGCAGCAGUGGGGAAUAUUGCGCAAUGGGCGAAAGCCUGACGCAGCGACGCCGCGUGAGGGAUGAAGGUCCUCGGAUCGUAAACCUCUGUCAGGAGGGAAGAACCGCCACGGUGCUAAUCAGCCGUGGUCUGACGGUACCUCCAAAGGAAGCACCGGCUAACUCCGUGCCAGCAGCCGC
rnacentral:rRNA from 1 species